GUGAAAUUGUUGAAAGGGAAGCGCUUGCAGCCAGACUUGCCUGUAGUUGCUCAUCCGGGUUUUUACCCGGUGCACCCUUCUACGGGCAGGCCAGCAUCAGUUUGGGCGGUUGGAUAAAGGUCUCUGUCAUGUACCUCCUCUCGGGGAGAACUUAUAGGGGAGACGACAUGCAACCAGCCCGGACUGAGGUCCGCGCAUCUGCUAGGAUGCUGGCGUAAUGGCUGUAAGCGGCCCGUCUUGAAACACGGACCAAGGAGUCA
rnacentral:rRNA from 1 species